rnacentral:misc_RNA from 1 species
GAUGAAGAACGUAGCGAAAUGCGAUAAGUAGUGUGAAUUGCAGAAUUCAGUGAAUCAUCGAAUCUUUGAACGCACAUUGCGCCCCUUGGUAUUCCAUGGGGCAUGCCUGUUCGAGCGUCAUUUGUACCUUCAAGCUCUGCUUGGUGUUGGGUGUUUGUCUCGCCUCUGCGUGUAGACUCGCCUCAAAACAAUUGGCAGCCGGCGUAUUGAUUUCGGAGCGCAGUACAUCUCGCGCUUUGCACUCAUAACGACGACGUCCAAAAGUACAUUUUUACACUCUUGACCUCGGAUCAGGUAGGGAUACCCGCUGAACUUAAGCACAUCAAUAAGCGGAGGA